rnacentral:rRNA from 1 species
UGGGUCCUACGGGAGGCAGCAGUGAGGAAUAUUGGUCAAUGGGCGAGAGCCUGAACCAGCCACGUCGCGUGAAGGAUGACGGCCCUAUGGGUUGUAAACUUCUUUUGUCAGGGAGCAAUUGGGUCCACGUGUGGGCUUAGCGAGAGUACCUGAAGAAAAAGCAUCGGCUAACUCCGUGCCAGCAGCCGCGGUAAUACGGAGGAUGCGAGCGUUAUCCGGAUUUAUCGGGUUUAAAGGGUGCGUAGGCGGAAUAUCAAGUCAGCGGUAAAAAUUCGGGGCGCAACCCCGU